CAGCAGCCACGGGAACACGAGGGGGGCAAGCGUUGUUCGGAAUUAUUGGGCGUAAAGGGUGCGUAGGCGGUUUGACAAGUCAUCUGUGAAAUCUCUGGGCUCAACCCAGAGUCUGCAGGCGAAACUGUCGGGCUUGAGUAUUGGAGAGGUGAGUGGAAUUUCCGGUGUAGCGGUGAAAUGCGUAGAUAUCGGAAGGAACACCUGUGGCGAAAGCGGCUCACUGGACAAUAACUGACGCUGAUGCACGAAAGCUAGGGGAGCAAACAGGAUUAGAUACCCCCGUAGUCCCUGUCUCUUAUAC
rnacentral:rRNA from 1 species